rnacentral:rRNA from 1 species
UAGAGCUUGAUCAUGGCUCAGAUUGAACGCUGGCGGCAGGCCUAACACAUGCAAGUCGAGCGGAUGAAGRGAGCUUGCUCUCUGAUUCAGCGGCGGACGGGUGAGUAAUGCCUAGGAAUCUGCCUGGUAGUGGGGGACAACGUCUCGAAAGGGACGCUAAUACCGCAUACGUCCUACGGGAGAAAGCAGGGGACCUUCGGGCCUUGCGCUAUCAGAUGAGCCUAGGUCGGAUUAGCUAGUUGGUGAGGUAAUGGCUCACCAAGGCGACGAUCCGUAACUGGUCUGAGAGGAUGAUCAGUCACACUGGAACUGAGACACGGUCCAGACUCCUACGGGAGGCAGCAGUGGGGAAUAUUGGACAAUGGGCGAAAGCCUGAUCCAGCCAUGCCGCGUGUGUGAAGAAGGUCUUCGGAUUGUAAAGCACUUUAAGUUGGGAGGAAGGGCAGUAAGCGAAUACCUUGCUGUUUGACGUACCGACAGA